rnacentral:rRNA from 1 species
ACUCCUACGGGAGGCAGCAGUGGGGAAUAUUGCGCAAUGGACGAAAGUCUGACGCAGCGACGCCGCGUGGAGGAUGAAGGUUUCGGAUCGUAAACUCCUGUCAAGAGGGAAGAAACCUAUUAUGAAUAAUACUCAUAGUAAUUGACGGUACCUCUAGAGGAAGCACCGGCUAAUUCAGUGCCAGCAGCCGCGGUAAUACUGAAGGUGCAAGCGUUAAUCGGAAUCACUGGGCGUAAAGCGCUCGUAGGUGGCUUUGUAAGUCAGGUGUGAAAGCCCACGGCUCAACCGUGGAAUUGCACUUGAUACUGCAUCGCUAGAGUAUAGGAGAGGGAAGUGGAAUUUCUGGUGUAGGAGUGAAAUCCGUAGAGAUCAGAAGGAACACCCGUGGCGAAGGCGACUUCCUGGACUAUUACUGACACUGAGGAGCGAAAGCGUGGGAGCAAACAGGAUUAGAUACCCCUGGUAGACUGUCA